rnacentral:tRNA from 1 species
CGGGGCGUAGCUAUAACACAAAGCAUUCAGCUUACACCUGAAAGAUACCUACCAUUCCCUAGGUCGCCCUGA